AGUGAACGCUGGCGGUAGGCCUAACACAUGCAAGUCGAACGGCAGCACAGUAAGAGCUUGCUCUUACGGGUGGCGAGUGGCGGACGGGUGAGGAGUACAUCGGAAUCUACUUUUUCGUGGGGGAUAACGUAGGGAAACUUACGCUAAUACCGCAUACGACCUACGGGUGAAAGCAGGGGAUCUUCGGACCUUGCGCGAUUGAAUGAGCCGAUGUCGGAUUCGCUAGUUGGCGGGGUAAAGGCCCACCAAGGCGACUAUCCGUAGCUGGUCUGAGAGGAUGAAUAGACACACUGGAAGUGAGACACGGUCGAGACUCCUACAGGGAGCAGCAGUGGGGAAUAUUGGACAAUGGGCGCGAGCCUGAUCCAGCCAUACCGCGUGGGGGAAGAAGGCCUUAUGGUUGUAAAGCCCUGUUGUUGGGAAAGAAAAGCAGCAGGUUAAUACCCCGCUGUUCUGACGGUACCCAAAGAAUAAGCACCGGCUAACUUCGUG
rnacentral:rRNA from 1 species